rnacentral:lncRNA from 1 species
GAUUUCUGAUUCAAAAUCUCUAAUACCUGGUUUAACCAAAGAUCAAUAUUCCUAGCUUAUGUUGCUGCUCCAACAGACACAGAUGUCAGAGUCUCAGCAGCAGUCCAGUCUUAUGGCAUCAACCAACUUUUCUGGUAAUUUUUCUCCAACCAAUCAUUUAAAGAAUGUAUCCUAUGGGGCUUGCAUGCUAACCAAAAUAAGUGACUGCAUUUGGAUUAUAGACUCUAGUGCCACUGAUCACAUGACCUCUAAUAAAGACCUUCUGUUUGAUAUUAAGCCUUUAGUAAUACCAUAUCUAGUUACCUUGACCGAAUAAGUGAUUGCAUUUGGAUUAUAGACUCUGUGCCACUGACCACAUGACCUCUAAUAAAGACCUUCGGUUUGAUAUUAAGCCUUUAGUAAUACCAUAUCUAGUUACCUUGUCCAAUGGCUAUAAGGUUAAGGUAACAUGCACUGGCUCCAUACAAUUCCUUUGUUUCACUCUACAUCGUGUCCUUUAUAUUUCCAGUUUUCACUACAAUCUCAUCUCUGUGUCCAAACUUGUAUGCCAGUUAAAUUCUAUUGUCCUAUUUACUAAAUUCUCUUGUUUAAUACAGGCCCCUUCUCUGAAGAGGCCACUGGAGAUUGGUAAAUUGGAUAAUGGUCUCUACAGGCUUGUGCAAUCUUCUUCUUUUAAAUCUCUUGAUCUUAGUAAAUACCAUGCUCAAUUAACUGUUGAUUCUGUUUCUUCCUCUCAUUAUACAUACCAUUCUGAAUUGAAUAAAAUGGAGAUGUUAUGGCAUAAUAGACUAGGGCAUAUACUUGAUGAUUUUACCAGAGCUACUUGGACCCACCUUAUGGGGUCCAAGAGCAAUGCCUUUCCCCUUAUUAAAGCCUUCAUUGCCAUGGUUAAGACUCAAUUCCAGUCUGUGGUACAAACCAUUAGGAGUGAUAAUGCAUUUGAACUUGGCUCUAGUAGCUGUGGCAGCAACUUCUUUGCUGAAAAUGGAAUAAUGCAUCAAACUUCUUGCUCUCACACACCACAACAAAAUGGUGCAGUUGAGAGAAAGCAUAGAUACAUGCUAGAAACCUCAAGAGCUCUACUCUUUCAUUCUCACCUACCCAUUAGAUUUUGGGGUGAUUGUGUGCUUACUGCAACCUAGCUCAUUAACAGGUUUCCUUCCAAACUUCUUAACAAUAAAUCCCCUUUUGAAUUGCUGUUUGGCCAGAUUCCAUCCUAUAACCACCUUAAAACAUUUGGUUGCUUAUGUUUUGCCUCAGUCCCUAAACAGAAUAGAGAUAAAUUCUAGCCCAGAGCUG